CCGUAGGGUGAACCUGCGGAAGGAUCAUUG
rnacentral:rRNA from 2 species